GCCAGGCGUGGUGGAGCACACCUGUAGUCUCAGCUACUCGAGAGGCUGAGAUGGGAGGAUCACUUGAGCCCAGGAGCUGGAGGCUGCAGUGAGCCAUGAUCGUGCCACUGCACUCCAGCCUGGGCAACAGAGCAAGACUCUAUCUCAA
rnacentral:SRP_RNA from 1 species